rnacentral:rRNA from 1 species
GAUUCCCCUAGUAACUGCGAGUGAAGCGGGAAAAGCUCAAAUUUAAAAUCUGGUGGUCUUCCGCCAUCCGAGUUGUAAUCUAGAGAAGUGUUACCCGCGUCGGACCGUGUACAAGUCUCCUGGAAUGGAGCGUCAUAGAGGGUGAGAAUCCCGUCUUUGACACGGACCCCCGAGGCUUUGUGGUGCGCUCUCAAAGAGUCGAGUUGUUUGGGAAUGCAGCUCAAAAUGGGUGGUAAAUUCCAUCUAAAGCUAAAUAUUGGCGAGAGACCGAUAGCGAACAAGUACCGUGAGGGAAAGAUGAAAAGAACUUUGGAAAGAGAGUUAAACAGUACGUGAAAUUGCUGAAAGGGAAACGCUUGAAGUCAGUCGCGUUGGCCGGAAAUCAGCCUUGCUAUAGCUUGGUGUACUUUCUGGUUGACGGGCCAGCAUCAGUUUUGACCGGUGGAUAAAGCUGUGAGGAAUGUGGCAUCUUCGGGUGUGUUAUAGCCUCGCUUCGUAUACAUCGGUUGGGACUGAGGAACUCAGCACGCCGCAAGGCCGGGGUUCGCCCACGAUCGUGCUUAGGAUGCUGGCAUAAUGGCUUUAAUCGACCCGUCUUGAAACACGGACCAAGGAGUCUAACAUGCCUGCGAGUGUUUGGGUGGAAAACCCGGACGCGCAAUGAAAGUGAAAGUCGAGAUCCUUGUCAUGGGGAGCAUCGACGCCCGGACCAGAAGUUUACGGACGGUUCUGCGGUAGAGCAUGUAUGUUGGGACCCGAAAGAUGGUGANCUAUGCCUGAAUAGGGUGAAGCCAGAGGAAACUCUGGUGGAGGCUCGUAGC